rnacentral:rRNA from 1 species
CCCUUAGAUGUUCUGGGCCGCACGCGCGCUACACUGUUCGACGCAGCGAGUCUUAACCUUGACCGAAAGGUUUGGGUAAUCUUCAGCAAAGUCGAACGUGAUGGGGAUCGAUCAUUGCAAUUAUUGAUCGUGAACGAGGAAUUCCUAGUAAGUGCGAGUCAUCAGCUUGCGCUGAUUACGUCCCUGCCCUUUGUACACACCGCCCGUCGCUCCUACCGAUUGAGUGGUCCGGUGAGGCUUUGGGAUCUGAGCGGAAAGAGCGUUUCGCUGUUUCUGCUCGGAAAACUCAGUCGAACCUUAUCAUUUAGAGGAAGGAGAAGUCGUAACA